UACGUAGGGUGCGAGCGUUGUCCGGAAUUACUGGGCGUAAAGAGCUCGUAGGUGGUUUGUCGCGUUGUCCGUGAAAACUCACAGCUUAACUGUGGGCGUGCGGGCGAUACGGGCAGACUGGAGUACUGCAGGGGAGACUGGAAUUCCUGGUGUAGCGGUGGAAUGCGCAGAUAUCAGGAGGAACACCGGUGGCGAAGGCGGGUCUCUGGGCCGAUAUUGACGCUGAGGAGCGAAAGCCAGGGGAGCAAACGGG
rnacentral:rRNA from 1 species